rnacentral:rRNA from 1 species
AUUGAACGCUGGCGGCAUGCCUUACACAUGCAAGUCGAACGGCAGCACGGGAGCAAUCCUGGUGGCGAGUGGCGAACGGGUGAGUAAUAUAUCGGAACGUGCCCAGUCGUGGGGAUAACGUAGCGAAAGCUACGCUAAUACCGCAUACGAUCUAUGGAUGAAAGCGGGGGAUCGCAAGACCUCGCGCGAUUGGAGCGGCCGAUAUCAGAUUAGGUAGUUGGUGAGGUAAAGGCUCACCAAGCCGACGAUCUGUAGCUGGUCUGAGGA